AGAGUUUGAUCCUGGCUCAGAUUGAACGCUGGCGGCAGGCCUAACACAUGCAAGUCGAACGGUAACAGGAAGAAGCUUGCUUCUUUGCUGACGAGUGGCGGACGGGUGAGUAAUGUCUGGGAAACUGCCUGAUGGAGGGGGAUAACUACUGGAAACGGUAGCUAAUACCGCAUAACGUCGCAAGACCAAAGAGGGGGACCUUCGGGCCUCUUGCCAUCGGAUGUGCCCAGAUGGGAUUAGCUAGUAGGUGGGGUAACGGCUCACCUAGGCGACGAUCCCUAGCUGGUCUGAGAGGAUGACCAGCCACACUGGAACUGAGACACGGUCCAGACUCCUACGGGAGGCAGCAGUAGGGAAUCUUCCGCAAUGGACGAAAGUCUGACGGAGCAACGCCGCGUGAGUGAUGAAGGUUUUCGGAUCGUAAAGCUCUGUUGUUAGGGAAGAACAAGUGCGAGAGUAACUGCUCGCACCUUGACGGUACCUAACCAGAAAGCCACGGCUAACUACGUGCCAGCAGCCGCGGUAAUACGUAGGUGGCAAGCGUUGUCCGGAAUUAUUGGGCGUAAAGGGCUCGCAGGCGGUUUCUUAAGUCUGAUGUGAAAGCCCCCGGCUCAACCGGGGAGGGUCAUUGGAAACUGGGAAACUUGAGUGCAGAAGAGGAGAGUGGAAUUCCACGUGUAGCGGUGAAAUGCGUAGAGAUGUGGAGGAACACCAGUGGCGAAGGCGACUCUCUGGUCUGUAACUGACGCUGAGGAGCGAAAGCGUGGGGAGCGAACAGGAUUAGAUACCCUGGUAGUCCACGCCGUAAACGAUGAGUGCUAAGUGUUAGGGGGUUUCCGCCCCUUAGUGCUGCAGCUAACGCAUUAAGCACUCCGCCUGGGGAGUACGGUCGCAAGACUGAAACUCAAAGGAAUUGACGGGGGCCCGCACAAGCGGUGGAGCAUGUGGUUUAAUUCGAAGCAACGCGAAGAACCUUACCAGGUCUUGACAUCCUCUGACAACCCUAGAGAUAGGGCUUUCCCUUCGGGGACAGAGUGACAGGUGGUGCAUGGUUGUCGUCAGCUCGUGUCGUGAGAUGUUGGGUUAAGUCCCGCAACGAGCGCAACCCUUGAUCUUAGUUGCCAGCAUUCAGUUGGGCACUCUAAGGUGACUGCCGGUGACAAACCGGAGGAAGGUGGGGAUGACGUCAAAUCAUCAUGCCCCUUAUGACCUGGGCUACACACGUGCUACAAUGGACAGAACAAAGGGCUGCAAGACCGCAAGGUUUAGCCAAUCCCAUAAAUCUGUUCUCAGUUCGGAUCGCAGUCUGCAACUCGACUGCGUGAAGCUGGAAUCGCUAGUAAUCGCGGAUCAGCAUGCCGCGGUGAAUACGUUCCCGGGCCUUGUACACACCGCCCGUCACACCACGAGAGUUUGCAACACCCGAAGUCGGUGAGGUAACCUUUAUGGAGCCAGCCGCCGAAGGUGGGGCAGAUGAUUGGGGUGAAGUCGUAACAAGGUAACCGUA
rnacentral:rRNA from 1 species